GUAGGGAAUAUUGCGAAAUGGGGGAAACCCUGACGCAGCGACGCCGCGUGAGUGAUGAAGGCCUUCGGGUCGUAAAGCUCUGUUGCAGGGGAAUAAAAAAAUGAAGGUACCCUGUGAGGAAGGAUCGGCUAACUUCGUGCCAGCAGCCGCGGUAAGACGAGGGAUCCUAGCGUUGCUCGGACUCAUUGGGCGUCAAGAGGGCGUAGGUGGCUUGGUAAGUCAGGUGUGAAAGCACAGGGCUCAACCCUGGAAGUGCAUUUGAUACUGCUGAGCUUGAGUGUCGGAGAGGUUACCGGAAUAGCUGGUGUAGUGGUGAAAUACGUAGAUAUCAGGUGGAAUACCGGAGGCGAAGGCGGGUAACUGGACGAACACUGACCCUGAGGCCCGAAAGCGUGGGGAUCAAACAGGAUUAGAAACCCGAGUAGUC
rnacentral:rRNA from 1 species